GACGAGGGAUCCUAGCGUUGUUCGGAAUCAUUGGGCGUAAAGCGGGUGUAGGUGGCUUUGUAAGUCAGGUGUGAAAUCCCAGAGCUUAACUCUGGAAGUGCAUCUGAUACUGCGAAGCUUGAGUGUAGGAGAGGUUACUAGAAUUCCUGGUGCAGUGGUGAAAUACGUAGAUAUCAGGAGGAAUACCGGAGGCGAAGGCGGGUAACUGGCCUAACACUGACACUCAGACCCGAAAGCGUGGGGAUCAAACAGG
rnacentral:rRNA from 1 species